rnacentral:lncRNA from 11 species
UGCAAGGCUAGAGUCAGAAGGACAUCACAACAAAUUUUGUAUUUACACCCGCAGGACACAGGAACCAUGUGCUGCUGAGCAAUGGUGCUCCAGAACACGAAAGCCAUGGGAGUUUUGAGCCAGUCGGAGCUGUGCCCUUCGCCAGCCGCCUUGGAGAAGGACCAUCUUGAGGAGGGACCCAGUUGCCACCAAGUCCUAGAAAAGGAGACAUCUCCAACCCAGAGCAGUACAGAAGGUGACUCCCUUUCUUCAGAAAAUGGAUCCAGUCCCAGAGGCAGCUCUAGCAACUGUAUAGAUGAUGAAGCCAGUAGCACUGAGAGUGCCAAGAAUGGGAAUGGGAGCCUGUGCGCAUCAAGAAAUGGGGGCCACUUGGAAGGGGAAGCAGCAAGAGAGCAGCGUGAUCAGAACAAGAUUGUGGCUCUGGAAAAUGAGAUCAAGGACCUGCAUCACCGGAAGAGGGAGCUCAAUAUCGAGAUGGACCUGGAAGGUGCUUUGGUGGAAGGAGAAUUGAACGACGAGAAGCAUGAAUUGAAGUGGGAAGAGGAACGGCUACUGGAGCUGCAGAGGCGGCUUUUUGAGACAGAACGCAAGUGCCACGCCGAGCGGGAAAAGGUGAGCUGCUCUGUUAUGUACGUAUGUAUGUAUGCAUGUAUGUAUGUAUGUAAACUUUCCCAGGAUGUGGUUCAUGCUUAGAGUCUGUGCCCAGAUGUCUUUGAAUGCAGCUGCAGUUGCAAUGCAUGCAAUGUACCCCUGUUUUUAUACUGACUUCUGAAACACUGCAGGUCACAUAUAUGGAAUUUGAUAGGACCCCGAGGACUUCUUACAGAUACUAUGGAUAAUAGUGAAUCCUCUGUUUUUACAUUUGGAACAAAAAUAGAGCAUUCGUUAGUCAUCCUGUCUGCUCACCUCCUGUUCAGAGGAGGAGAGAAUAGCUGGAGUCCCUCUGCUUCACUGAAUGGGAGACGUUGAGGUGGCUCACCAUCAUUCUCCCUAGCAACAAAGCAACAGAAGCAGUUCUUUCUGCUAAAGUACUUACUUAGGCAAUCCCUCGUAGCUCAAGGACGAUUGUCUUCCAUCUUGGGGAUGGGUUCUUAGGUGGCUGAAGAGACCGAUUCUGCCAAAGUCCAAGACAGUGGAUACAUGAAACUGCAGAUAUGGAAUCUGCAGAUACGAAGUCUUACCGUUUUUUUAAAGCAAGGUCUGAUUAAAGUGAGGAUAUGCGUGGGUGGCUUCUCACAAUUAUCCUUGGAGAAGGCCCAUCAUGAGGAGGCAACCCAGUUGCCACUAUUCUCUAGAUUUCAAAAGUACAUUUCAAAAAUUUUGCUGGAUUAGGAAUACUAAGCAUCCUCGAGGGGCUCCAGUUUUUUAAAAUUGUGUCAGAAGCGACUUCAGAACAUACUGCAAGUUGCUUCUGGUGUGAGAGAAUUGGCUGUCUACAGAGACAUUGCUCAGGGACGCCCAGAUGUGUUACUGUCUCAUGUCCCCACAAGCUAGAGCUGACAGAUGGAAGCUCACCUCAUCUCGCAGAUUUGAAUCAGCAACUUUCAGGGACUCCAGUGAUCCCAGUUGAAUUAUCAAAUAUCACAGUAUCUACCUGCUGUUAAUUUUCCUUUCUUGCAAUGUUUUUGCUGGUGGUGUCUCUCUUCCUUCAAUUUCACUUCAUCUGUCACCACUUCAGGUACAUUAUUUAUAUAUGGGUAGGAAGAAUGUUUACAAAUGCGCAAGAGAUGGUGGGAAAAUGUGUGUUUCAAGUGUUGAGAAACACUAAUGUAAAAAACUCAAGACUGAUGAGAAUCUUAGCAGUUUGGAACUUGUUGUGCAUGAAAUUCAUAUGUGGGUGCCUUGUGCAUAAAAUCGCAUUUUCUGCACCACAUAGAAAAACCUGUAGUUUCAGACACAUUUUGUGCAAAUCUGUUUUCCAAUGAAAGUAACAUUUUUUUUGCAUAGGAAAGCAGCAGUUUCUGCACAAUGAAGAAUAUUUCAGAAACAACAUUUUCUGCACAGAAAAUUCUGUAUUAUGCAAAAGGAUAGCUAUAUGCAAGUGUGAAUAAUCUUUGAAAAUUGCACAGUUUUCAAAUACUUCCUUGCAGGAAGAAGUAAAAUUCUAAAAUGACUCAUUGCAUCCUUUGAGAAAAUAAAUUGGGAAAAAGUACAUACUUAUUUGAAUAAGUCAGAAAACACAAAACCCACAGGCAAAAAUCUUACCAGUUAUUUCAGAUCAGUGAAAGUUUUUAAAAGUUCUACUUUCUUGAUGUAGUUAUUUAACUGGAAAGUAGAGAUGGCCAUUUCUAUUGCAUUAGAUGUGUAAAGCAUUCCUCUCUGUCCAUUUGUUUUCCCAGCUACUUUGUCUUUCCUGUGCCUCCAAAUGCAUGUAUUUAAAUCUGUUUAACCAAACACAACCCUUUUGUCUUUUUCCAGACAUUGCUGUACUAUAUUUGAUCCUCUGAGCAUGUUUUAUAUCAUUUUGUUAACAUAUAUUUUUACCAAAUGGAGAAUGCAAAGGGUGAGGAGAGCAUUAGACCAAAACCUGAGCCCACCAGCAAAAAAAAGAAAAUUUCCCCUUGAAUGAUUUUAUUGGCAUUGUAUUGUUUAGUCACUAGGUGGAACUAGAGUUCAUUGCAUCUAAACAAACUUUUUCCUUGUGAGUUUAAAAUGUGUUUAAUAUUUAUUUAUUCAAUAUUUUCAUCCUGUUUUUUCUUUCUGAGACCUCAGGACAGCUAACAUAAAACAAUAUGAACAAUUUAGACAAUUAAAAUGAGUAAAUAUGUAAACAGACAAAAAGAUAAUUAAAUAAUUCAAAGAAGUUAAAAUAGCUUUAAAUGACUAGCAAAGUAUCUAUCUAUCUCUCUUUCUAUCUCUCCAUAUCCACAGAGGGAUACAUUCUCAGCCAGACUGCAAUUACCUAAAAAUGUGGAUAUGGCUGAAUGCCUUUAGGUUAUCUGACUUCCAGUCCCAACAUACCAUAGUAUUUCUCUGGAGAUAUCCCACUCUAAAGAUAUGCUAGAUUUUCCACUGUCAUUCUAUGGUCACCAUCAAAUUUUCUGGAGGAUGCAACAAAUUCCUAGAGCAGGCAUCCCCAAACUCAAGCCCUCCAACUGUUUGGACCUCCAACUCUCAGAAUUCCUGACCAUUGAACAAGCUGGUUAGGGCUUCUGGGAGUUGGAGGCCCAAACAUCUGGAGGACCAGAGUUUGAGAAUGCCUGUCUCAGAGAGACUACGUUUCUCAUUUGUGGAUAAGUGAAACUGUGCCUAUGGCUUCUGCAAUUACAGGGAUCUUAAGACACACUUAAAAGUAAAUUAGGCUCCAGAAGCUUCAUUACCAAACUGCACCCUGCUUACAGUCAGAAUGGCAAAUUGUCUCUUCUACCCUAUGUGCUGGUUUGGACAUAUUGUAUUAUUAUUAUUAUUAUUAUUUAAAAGGUUACUAUAUGGAAGUCAUUGACUUUGUAAAGAAGGUUUCUCAGGCUUGCAAAGAUUCAUCAAUUCUAGUAAAUCAAUCACACAACUUACUAGGGUGUAAUGUAUUUUUAUUCCCUGAGCUCUCUUUCAGCAUGAAAAUGCAGACUGUUGGCCUCCUUGUAGGCCAAUUAAAUCUAAUUAAAACCCAAC